rnacentral:lncRNA from 1 species
AGCAACUGGGCAUGCCCCAGUUUCUCUAUGGAUGAAUAAUGUCUCCAGUGUACGUGUAUCAUAUUUUCUUUGCCCAUCCGUUUGUUGAUGGAAAACUGAUUCCACUUCGUAUCUGUUGUGAAUAGUAUAUAUCAAUGCCAUGAAUACGUAAGUAUCUUGACAAAAAUAUUUUUUUAUUUUGAAAGUAUUCCUUUUAUGGAUUUUUUUUUUUUUUACUCAAUCUUAUUGUUUACUUAUUUACUUUACAUCCCACUCACUGCCCCCCUCCUGGUCAUCCUUCCCACAAUCCUUCCUCUAUUCCAACCAAAAAAAAAUUUAAAACAGACUUGAUUGAUUUCUAAGACUUAAAGAUGAAAGAAGCAAUGUGGGCUACAUAGCAGAAACAGAGAACAAACUCAAAUGCUCAGGCUUCUGCUGGUAGUCUAUCUAGGUGCAGUUCAUGGGCCCUCUACUAACUCCUUUUCAUUGACUCUGGCCACUGCUAUUCCAAAACAAAAGUCCCCUUCCUCCUGUCCACUCUACCUGGGUCUAGGUCUCCAACCCAUUUCAAUCCACUUUGUGUGGAAGCAAUAAACAAGUCACUGACCCAACUGUAGAGCCUUUGCUUCCCCUGUGUGUAUUGCAUCUGCUUUUCUUUGCAGAGUCAGAGCAGAGUCUCCUGACCUCUUUAGAGACUGGAAGAAAGAUGAUGCCCUCUAGUGCUGUGGACAGUUCAGCCUGCAAGCCGUGAUUCAUCAUUACGUUCUUCGUCGGCCCCUGAGAGGCUCCUUCAUCAUCAUCCAUCUUUUUCUAGAAGAGAUCUUUAAAUCCCACUUUGUUUAAGAAGAAUAAUGUUGCUGCCUUUUGUGGGAAUGGGGUAAGAAUUUUUUAAAGCAUAUUUUUUUCAAGGAAAGGAGAUUUUAAACACAGAUGUGUUAUUUGUGAAAUUCCC